GAUGAACGCUGGCGGCGUGCCUAAUACAUGCAAGUCGAGCGAACAGACGAGGAGCUUGCUCCUCUGACGUUAGCGGCGGACGGGUGAGUAACACGUGGAUAACCUACCUAUAAGACUGGGAUAACUUCGGGAAACCGGAGCUAAUACCGGAUAAUAUAUUGAACCGCAUGGUUCAAUAGUGAAAGACGGUUUUGCUGUCUCUUCUAGAUGGAUCCGCGCCGCAUUAGCUAGUUGGUAAGGUAACGGCUUACCAAGGCAACGAUGCGUAGCCGACCUGAGAGGGUGAUCGGCCACCCUGGAACUGAGACACGGUCCAGACUCCUACGGGAGGCAGCAGUAGGGAAUGUUCCGCAAUGGGCGAAAGCCUGACGGAGCAACGCCGCGUGAGUGAUGAAGGUCUUCGGAUCGUAAAACUCUGUUAUUAGGGAAGAACAAAUGUGUAAGUAACUAUGCACGUCUUGACGGUACCUAAUCAGAAAGCCACGGCUAACUACGUG
rnacentral:rRNA from 1 species